AGGCCCUACGGGGCGCAGCAGGCGCGAAAACUUUACAAUGCGAGCAAUCGUGAUAAGGGAACUCCGAGUGCCCGUAAAAUCGGGCUGUCCGCCAGUGUAAAUAACUGGUGAAGAAAGGGCCGGGCAAGACCGGUGCCAGCCGCCGCGGUAAUACCGGCGGCUCGAGUGGUGGCCACUAUUACUGGGCUUAAAGCGUUCGUAGCUGGUCUGUUAAGUCUCUGGGGAAAUCUUCCGGCUUAACCGGAAGGCGUCUCAGGGAUACUGGCAGACUAGGGACCGGAAGAGGUGAGAGGUACUCCAGGGGUAGGAGUGAAAUCCUGUAAUCCUUKGGGGACCACCUGUGGCGAAGGCGUCUCACCAGAACGGCUCCGACAGUGAGGAAC
rnacentral:rRNA from 1 species